rnacentral:rRNA from 1 species
UGAGGCCUACGGGGCGCAGCAGUCGGGAAUAUUGCGCAAUGGAGGAAACUCUGACGCAGUGACGCCGCGUAUAGGAAGAAGGUUUUCGGAUUGUAAACUAUUGUCGUGAGGGAAGAAAUUGACAGUACCUCAGGAGGAAGCUCCGGCUAACUAUGUGCCAGCAGCCGCGGUAAUACAUAGGGAGCAAGCGUUAUCCGGAUUUAUUGGGUGUAAAGGGAGCGUAGGUGGCAUGGUAAGCCAGAAGUGAAAACCCAGGGCUCAACUCUGUGGAUUGCUUUUGGAACUAUCAAGCUAGAGUGCUGGAG